CAAGCGCUCAAGGGGACCUUCAAGAGGAACUCGAAGUGGACGCCUAGACAUUGUUUGAGUAUUACUCUCUUGUUGCUAUAGGGUUAGAGACCAAGGGUGCUCGUGAGUAGUACUAGAUUGUUCUCUUUUGAAGACUUUGAGUUACAUUAUAACGGAUGGCUAUAGUACUCUUUUCCGUUGGAUUGUAUUUAAGUUUGAAAGCUACAUAGUUGUAAGUGUAAGAUAUUUGAAGUACUUUAAUUAUGUAUUGAAGUUA